rnacentral:rRNA from 1 species
GCGUGCUUAACACAUGCAAGUCGAACGGGAUCCAUCAAGCUUGCUUGGUGGUGAGAGUGGCGAACGGGUGAGUAAUGCGUGACCAACCUGCCCUGUACUCUGGAAUAGCUCCUGGAAACGGGUGGUAAUGCCGGAUGCUCCACAUGGGUGCAUGCCUGUGUGGGAAAGGGUUUACCGGUAUGGGAUGGGGUCGCGUCCUAUCAGCUUGACGGCGGGGUAAUGGCCCACCGUGGCUUUGACGGGUAGCCGGCCUGAGAGGGCGACCGGCCACAUUGGGACUGAGAUACGGCCCAGACUCCUACGGGAGGCAGCAGUGGGGAAUAUUGCACAAUGGGGGGAACCCUGAUGCAGCGACGCCGCGUGCGGGAUGACGGCCUUCGGGUUGUAAACCGCUUUUGAUUGGGAGCAAGCGUUAAGUGAGUGUACCUUUCGAAUAAGCGCCGGCUAACUACGUGCCAGCAGCCGCGGUAAUACGUAGGGCGCAAGCGUUGUCCGGAAUUAUUGGGCGUAAAGGGCUCGUAGGCGGCUCGUCGCGUCUGGUGUGAAAGUCCAUCGCUUAACGGUGGAUCUGCGCCGGGUACGGGCGGGCUGGAGUGCGGUAGGGGAGACUGGAAUUCCCGGUGUAACGGUGGAAUGUGUAGAUAUCGGGAGGAACACCAAUGGCGAAGGCAGGUCUCUGGGCCGUUACUGACGCUGAGGAGCGAAAGCGUGGGGAGCGAACAGGAUUAGAUACCCUGGUAGUCCACGCCGUAAACGGUGGACGCUGGAUGUGGGGCCCAUUCCACGGGUUCCGUGUCGGAGCUAACGCGUUAAGCGUCCCGCCUGGGGAGUACGGCCGCAAGGCUAAAACUCAAAGAAAUUGACGGGGGCCCGCACAAGCGGCGGAGCAUGCGGAUUAAUUCGAUGCAACGCGAAGAACCUUACCUGGGCUUGACAUGUUCCCGGCGACAUCAGAGAUGGUGUUUCCCUUCGGGGCGGGUUCACAGGUGGUGCAUGGUCGUCGUCAGCUCGUGUCGUGAGAUGUUGGGUUAAGUCCCGCAACGAGCGCAACCCUCGCCCCGUGUUGCCAGCACGUCAUGGUGGGAACUCACGGGGGACCGCCGGGGUUAACUCGGAGGAAGGUGGGGAUG